UACGAGGGGGGCAAGCGUUGUUCGGAAUUAUUGGGCGUAAAGGGUGCGUAGGCGGUUUGGUAAGUCUUAUGUGAAAUCUACAGGCUCAACUUGUAGUCUGCAUGAGAAACUGCCGGGCUUGAGUAUGGGAGAGGUGAGUGGAAUUCCUGGUGUAGCGGUGAAAUGCGUAGAUAUCAGGAGGAACACCUGUGGCGAAAGCGGCUCAAUGGACCAUAACUGACGCUGAUGCACGAAAGCUAGGGGAGCAAACAGG
rnacentral:rRNA from 1 species